UGUUUGCAUUGGCAUUUUGUAAAUUCUUUUAUAGGAGAAUAUGUAAAAUUUGGAUAUAUAAAAGAUGGAGCAAAUGAUGUUUAAGCAUGCAUGCAUGCAAGAUAUGAUAAUCCAUUACAAACAUGAAGUCAAUGUGUGGGUAAUCAGAGAUAAUAAGGGCGUCCAAAGUAAAGAUGUUUGGCCUCCGAAAUCAGGUCUCCCAGUGGUGUCAUAUUCCAGGACUUGAAUCCGAAGCACAGCUAAUUCCGGAACACGAAUUAGGAAUUCGAAAUCCUGGUCCCAUACAGGUACUCUUUAGGGGGUUUGGUUGAAAUCAGAAUCCUUUUCUUCAAUGAUUCUGGUGAAGGAAAUUGCUGCAUGUUUUCUGUUUCGGACCGGUAGAGCAUAACUCCAAAAGUUUCUGUGACCAUCUAAAUAAAAAAAAAACAAGUCGUCAGAAAAAGGACAUUUCAGGCUUAGUAUUAGGUAGAUACUAUCAUCAUCAUUAUAAGCUCACCUUAGCCACCUUUUUCUGAAGAUUUGGAUUCAAAUGGUCUUCAAAAGUGAUCACAACUGGA